rnacentral:lncRNA from 1 species
UGCAUACAAACGCUACCCGUUUCGUUUAUUUCUUUCAUAAAUAAAUUUAGUUGGAAAUAUGAAACAACUAAGGCGUCGAAUCUGGAACCUUGGAUAUCAACUAUCGAGCCCUUUACCAUUAUGCCAUUAUGACCUUAUAUAUAUAUAUAGAGCUAGGCUGAAAUACUAUUUAUAGCUAAAGAUUCUUUUUACUAUCAAGUUUUUAACUCUUGAAUGAGAAAUUAUAGGGUUUGGAUAAUACUAGUCCCUUAGGGUUGAGUGAUCCCCUAGGGUUGAGUGGUUCCCACUGAGUUAUAGUAUUUAAUCCAAUGAUUAGAUGGGCUAAAAACUUGAU